UACGAAGGGGGGCUAGCGUUGCUCGGAAUCACUGGGCGUAAAGCGCACGUAGGCGGACUCUUAAGUCGGUGGUGAAAUCCUGGAGCUCAACUCCAGAACUGCCUUCGAUACUGGGAGUCUCGAGUCCGGGAGAGGUGAGUGGAACUGCGAGUGUAGAGGUGAAAUUCGUAGAUAUUCGCAAGAACACCAGUGGCGAAGGCGGCUCACUGGCCCGGUACUGACGCUGAGGUGGCGAAAGCGUGGGGAGCAAACAGGG
rnacentral:rRNA from 1 species